UUAACUCAAAUUUGUAUGGAGUCGGGACGUCUGCCUACGUUUGCCGCUAGGGGCGCUGUUCCAACUCCAUACAAAUAUGAGUUA
rfam:Bombyx mori DNA, contig: Bm_scaf128_contig38873, strain: p50T/Dazao, build 2, whole genome shotgun sequence.